CCCCCCCUCACUGAUUGUAACUUUGUUGUGAUCGUACGUAACUUAUCAGUGGUUGCUUUCCUCCCGGGUUCAAGGCACUCCUCUAAUGCAAGUUACCCCAGAAACAUCGUGGUCGGUGGGCAGGGGAGACUUCCUUAGCAUCAAGAACUAUUGGAUUCCUCUACUUCAUGUUACCUACCCACCUGACCAGAUUCCCUUCCUUGCUGGGUUAACAAUGGAUAAAUCAUUACAUGGACUUCCGCCAAUAACGAGAUCAAAGGGACCCCAAUCACUCAGCUGAAAGAUUGUGUGUCUAACUAUCCCUGCCUCCCCAGUGUUUAUAAAGUUUGUCGCUGCAUUCCAAUCCUUCCAUGACAGAUAGCGAGUUGAACACUUCACAAGCAGCUUAUACAAGUAGUAUCCUCACCUCAUAUUCGACUUCCCCAACGCUAACAAACUUACUCAGCCGAUUAUGCCAGUUGUCGCGACGAUGUAACAACCCUUUCUCAGUUGCCACACAAAGGUAACAACUCCAAGAGGUUGAAUCAACAUCAAAACCAUCAUCAGUGGUGUGGAAGUUAAUGGUGUACCAUAUGUAAUGAAACACCACACCUGCAGCAACUCUGGUUGUCACAUAAGAAUAUUCGCUUUCCACCCCCACACACACAGCAAUAACACGAGUAACCGCUGUCAUCCAGCAAGUAACAACUCUCACGGAUGAAUGAGAAUUAUUUUGAAGCCACGAACCUUCAUGAAGACUUCACUUCUCUGUUUGGUGAAAUCCUGGCAGUUCAUCUCAGGUUUGCUGAUGGUUGUUUUAACUUUCUUCUCAGAACACCUGUAUAACCCUUCGGCAAGAUUGAAAGAUAACCUUCGGGAUAAAACUUCUCUUUUGCCCAAGUGAUUCCACUUGCAUUUGAUUCGAGGGUUUUCCCUGAUGAUAAAACUUGAAUGGUUGAUCUGGUAUUCUGAUGUUGGCCAGCCACGCAAAUAAGCGAACCAACCAAACACAACCCACCAACCUGAUCUGUGAGCAGCUUCCUUUAUUGCUAAAUCAACAGCAAGAUUAUACGAUCUGUUCCUGUUGUACGACUUCUCUUUAAAGAAUCAUUCAAACCUCUGUAAAUUUCUCGUCACCAAACCACUUGAUCCAUCUCGUUGGGUCAUCAGGGGGGUCGAUCGGGCCACUGAGUUCCCCCGUGUUCGCGAUACGACCCGGCCACCAACCGAACCCACGACACUUACCCCACACUAACUGCAUUAAGCAUGGGUUAAAUGUAACUUAUUAUCCUUGCAAAUUUAGCUACGCAAAUAUAAACACUUGUAAUUAA